UACAGAGGAGCCAAGCGUUGUCCGGAUUGACUGGGCGUAAAGCGCGCGCAGGCGGUUUUCUAAGUUAGGUGUGAAAGCCCACGGCUCAACCGUGGAGGGCCACCUAAAACUGGGAGACUUGAGUGCAGGAGAGGAGAGCGGAAUUCCACGUGUAGCGGUGAAAUGCGUAGAGAUGUGGAGGAACACCCGUGGCGAAGGCGGCUCUCUGGCCUGCAACUGACGCUGAGGCGCGAAAGCGUGGGGAGCAAACAGG
rnacentral:rRNA from 1 species